UGCCCAGCUACUCCUAUCUCUACCUCCUCGCGGUACUGGCUGGGGUACGAGUAACCUUAGGGAAGAUCGGGUAACCAACCCCCGGUGGGAACUUUGGUCGUAUGCUGACAGGGAAGG
rfam:Aedes aegypti strain Liverpool supercont1.968 genomic scaffold, whole genome shotgun sequence.